rnacentral:piRNA from 2 species
AUGGGGGUGAUGGCCAGUCCUGGUGUCUGA